UGUUCAAGCCCACGAAAGCACCGGUAAAUAGCUGGGGUAACUAUGACUCUUAUCAAAGUAGCGAAAUACCUCGUCACUUAAUUAGUGACCUGCAUGAACGGAGCUAUGAGGUUCUCACUGUCCCAAACUGUCUCUCAGCGAACCAACUGUAGUGGGAACGGUCACUAGAUAUCCAGCGGGGAAAGAAGACCCUGUAGAGCUUCACUUUGGUCUAGUCUUGUAUAGUUCCUGCGGGGGUGUAGACUAGGUGGGAGAGCAAUCGAUUCUGAAAAACCACUACCCUGUUUGGAAUUAUGCUUACCUAUCACAAGGAAUAGGACUAGAUAGAAAGUUUGGCUGGGGCGGCACACCUUCGAAAGAGCAGCGAAGGUGUCCUAAGUUGAGCUCAGUGAGGACAGAAAUCUCACGUUGAGGAUAAGGCCAAAAGCUCAAUUUACUGUGCCUUUUUGUACUAGGAUCAGUUACGAAAGUAAGGCCUAACGAUCCCUAAAUAGCCUCAGGUGCGUGAGGAUUGGGGUGACAGACAAGUUACCUCCGGGACAACUGGCUUGUGGCUGCUAAGAGAUCAAAUCAACGCAGCUUUUUGAUUCUUCGAUGUCGGCUCUUCCUAUCCUAGUGAUGUACAAGUUGCUAAGGGUCGGAUUGUUCACCCGUAUUAGGGAUCGUGAGCUGGGUUUAGACCGUCGUGAGCCAGGUUUGUUUUAUCCUACUGGAUAUAGCAUCAUGAUAGUAGAUUGAUUUAGUACGAGAGGAACUGUUGAUUAUGGCCUCUGGUUAGCGAUUAUCGGAAACGGUAUGUCGCGCAGCUACGCCGUCUGGGAUAAUGGCUGAAAGCCUCUUAAGCCAGAAGCCCAUCUAGAAAGUGAUGCACGUGAUGUUGGACCGAUACGAAUAAUCAUACUCAAAAGGUCCGCUUCAUAGGUAACCCAAUGUAGAAGACAUUGUGUGAACGAAGGUACUGUAAGCAGGGAGGGCAUUACGUCCACGAC
rfam:Trichomonas vaginalis G3, whole genome shotgun sequence.